rnacentral:rRNA from 1 species
UCCUAAAGGAGGCAGCAGUAGGGAAUCUUCCGCAAUGGACGAAAGUCUGACGGAGCAACGCCGCGUGAACGAUGAAGGCCUUCGGGUCGUAAAGUUCUGUUGUUAGGGAAGAACAAGUACCAGAGUAACUGCUGGUACCUUGACGGUACCUAACCAGAAAGCCACGGCUAACUACGUGCCAGCAGCCGCGGUAAUACGUAGGUGGCAAGCGUUGUCCGGAAUUAUUGGGCGUAAAGCGCGCGCAGGUGGUUUCUUAAGUCUGAUGUGAAAGCCCACGGCUCAACCGUGGAGGGUCAUUGGAAACUGGGGAACUUGAGUGCAGAAGAAGAAAGUGGAAUUCCAAGUGUAGCGGUGAAAUGCGUAGAGAUUUGGAGGAACACCAGUGGCGAAGGCGACUUUCUGGUCUGUAACUGACACUGAAGCGCGAAAGCGUGGGGAGCGAACAGGAUUAGAUACCCUGGUAGUCCCCGCCGUAAACGAUGAGUGCUAAGUG